GCGCGAGCGAGCUCGAGGAAUAGGUGGCCUUGACCCCCGGCCCGGCCAGCUGUAGGCGCACCCGCUUUUACCUCAACCCCACCUCACCCCCGCGCCGACCUUACCCAACUACCCUCUCCUCAGGUUGCCCAAAUUUCAUCCUUCUGACUGGUUGUCAGGACCGGACGGCGCAAGCGGGAAUAACGCUCGUAUGCCAAAUACUUUCCACAAUGCUUGGUGAAUAUGAUGAUAUAGAAGCAUUUGAAGAUGCUCUCUACUGUGAAGAGUCUUCUAGUGAAGAAAGUAUUGAUAGCGAAGUAGAAUUUCACCUUUAUAGCCAAGUCCAUUAUGCACAAGGCAAUGAGGAUGCCAUUGGAGAAGAAGAAACUGAAGAACAUGGAUCUGGGCAAAAGCAGAGUUUAGUUAGUAAAGAGCAAAAAACCAACAACUUUAUUAUAAUUUCAGACAGUGAAGUCACUCACGUUUCUGAUAGUCCAGAUGUUAUCACCUUGUCAGACACCCCUGAUGAAGACAGCAUUUACAGAAGCAGACGCCAGAAGCGAACAACACCAGGUGCUCCAGUGCCAGGAAGAACAUACAAUCUUGGAGAGCUCACCUCGCCAAAGCCCACUAGACAUUCUUCUCAGAUUACUCCAAAUUCAAAGGGAUGGACCACAGGAAUUUCAAAAAAGGAGAAAAGGACUAGUGAAAAGUCUAUCUCCUUUCACCGUGAAGGUAUUCGCAUGAUCCACAAGAUCUUAGUAAUAGAGGACAGCUCUAGUGACGAGAAUGCAGAUGAUGUGAGAAGCAUUGCCUCUGAAAGUGAUAAUGUAGAGAGCUGGAUGCUGCUGGGAGGUGCCAGAGAGGACAAAGAUGACAACAUCCUCUUAAAUCUCGAGGGGUGUGGAACAUUAGCCAGUGAAGGAGAAGGUGGAGCAGACUGGAACAUCAGUGAUAAAGACUUAGAGGCACGGAUUGGCAACUAUGUUACAGUGCGGCACAACAACAGAUACUACAUGCCAGACAAAAAUGUCACUUGCAGAAAUUGUGAUAAACGAGGUCACUUAUCAAAAAAUUGUCCUACCCCAAAGAAAAUUCCACCUUGUUGUCUGUGUUCUGAAAGAGGUCACCUACAAAACAACUGUCCUGCACGAUUUUGUUUAAAUUGUUGUUUGCCUGGACACUACUCGAGAGAGUGCCUUGAGAGAACGUACUGGAAAAAACAUUGUAACCGCUGUGAUAUGAGAGGCCAUUAUGCAGACGCUUGCCCAGAAAUAUGGAGGCAGUAUCACCUAACAACCAGGCCGGGACCACUGAAGCAGGCUGAAACACAUGUUGAGCAUUCUGCUUCCGUGUACUGUUACAACUGUGCAGAGAAAGGCCAUUAUGGAUAUGAAUGUUCAGAGAGGCGGAUGUUUGGAGGGACAUUUCCUACUUCCCCCUUCAUCUAUUACUAUGAUAGCAGAUAUGAUAUCAAGAGGCGUCAUCAGAGAGUAAAGAAAAAAGUGCAAGAACUUCAGGAUGCAGGCCUUGUGCCAAAGGCUCUGAAGAGACCACGCAUAGACAAUGGCCAGAAACUGCCCGGCCAUAAAAAGAAGAAGAAAACAUUAAAGGACCAUGACAAGAGAGGAGAUAAGCAUCAUAAAAAGCUGAAGAAAAUGUCCCAGGCCAACAUACUCAAAGGAAGGAAGGAUAAGGUGGUCCAGAGUAACUAUAACAUGGAAGAGGACUUUCCCAGAGGUGGUAACAGGGAUGCUCUUAAAAAGAGCAGGAAAACCAGGGCACAUGGCACCUUUGGCCUCCCAGCAAAUGGAGGCAAAGCAGAAAUCCUUCAGGGUUCUCUGGAGAGAGCAAAAAAGAGGAAGAAGAAGAAACGGAGAAACUACACAAGUGGUAGCUCUCCCAGGGAUGAGAGUUUAUUCCUGAUAAAACAGAGGAAGAAGAAAUCAAAACAGAAACCCAAAUUGUGACAGAAGGGGGAAUGGAUGUGGGGUUGGGGGCUAAGCUUGAGACAGCUUUCACACCAUCACCCACCCACACCCCAUUCCAAUGUGGAACAUAAAACCAUCCGUAAGUGCAGGCUGGGAUACGAAAAAACCUAAAACAAAAUCCAGCUUUAGAGAAGAACUUUGCAGAAGGCAUGGAUAUUGAACAGUUCACAGAGGGCAUGGAUAUUGAACAAAUUGACUUAAAGCUGCUUCACAUGCUUGACCGAAAUGGGAACAGAAUUACAUAAGACCUGACAGUAGGAGUCACUUCGUGCUGUUUCUCUUGGUGCUUCUGUAGGAUGUGUGAAACGGGUCUAGGAAACAAGACUGAAGAGAGUUCUCAUCUACAUCCUAAUUUAUUUCAAUCCCAGAGUUGAUCCAUGAUGUCGCCUUCUUGUGCAUUUUUCUGCCUUGAGGAAUAUGCUGAAGUGUCUUUAACUUGUCAUAGAUGCAUCACCACAAGUUGGACUGGCAAGUCUGGUUGUAAGAGCUAGUCUUUUAUGUAGGAAGGCUUCAAUUCUGAAAUCUCAGCCUCUCAGGUGCUCUCCUGCUGAAUUUCAAGGGGAUUACUAGUAAGUGACUUCAUGGUUGUCUCCUAAUAUAUUUAACGUGCCAACAAAGAAAUUAAAGUAUUAUUUUUUAUUUUUAAAAACCCCAAUUUAAAUAGUUAAAUCUUCAUAGAGAUAGCUGUUCAAGUUAUAAAGAUAAUGAUUGUGUAAGAAGUUUACCUGUUCUCAGAAAUAAAUUGACAUAUAAUUCAGUUGCUUUAAAAUUAGGAAUUUUUGUACUUUAACUGAAUUACAGUUAAAAUUUUAAGGUAGGAAUAAAAUGCAGUAUUCAAUCAGGAAAACAACAUUUUUAGUGCCUUCCUUGUUUCCUUAAAAUUACACUUAUACUGUCUUAACAUUAAUACUGCCAACCCAUGUUAGCGCUAACUCAAGGAUUUUGGGCUGUUUCACACACUCUUUUUUCUGAGCCUGACAUUAAUCUCCAUGUUGGAAAAGGUAGCCUUGGUACUAUACAAUAGCACUGAAACCUUAUUGUCAUGAUAAACCACUUUUCUAGUAAGAGCUGUAUCCAAUUAUAUCCCUCCCUCCCCUGACAGAAUGCUCUUUGAUUCAGCUAAGGUUUCUGUGAGUUGAAAGGGGGGGAUAGAUUUUUCACUGAAUUCUCCUUUCCUCUCCAGCCCCCUCCCUCAACCUCCUUCACAGGGUUGGAGGAACCUUUAACAGUGUGGAAAGAGGCACAGGGGACUCUGAAUGAGAGAGAAAGCUUUUGUAUGGGGGGGGAACCCCAACUCUUCUGUUCCUCUCCCACCCCUUCCUGCUCUGCUGAAUGAAAGAUCCAUCAGUGGAGGGCAGUGCACAAUUGCAGUGGAGCCUAAGCAUUUAACAUAAGCAGAAUCCUGCUUGAUCAAUAUGGCUAGCCAGUUGGCUAUGGGAGCCCAUAAGUGAGGCAUGAUGGAUAUACCUCUCUUCUGCUUAGGGACCCCAGCAACUGACACUCAGAAGCCUAUGGCCUCUUAUACUCCUAUACUGGCCAUUUUUUGGCCUUAGCCUCCAUGAAUUUGUUUAAUCCUGUUUCCAAAUCAACCAGAUUGAUGGCCAUCACUAGAUUUUCCAUAGUUCUAGCUAUGUGCUUUCUAAGAAGUAUUUCAUAGAAUCAUAGAGUUGGAAGAGACCACAAGGGCCAUCCAGUCCAACCCCCUGCCAAGCAGGAAACACCAUCAAAGCAUUCUUGACAUAUGCCUGUCAAGCCUCUGCUUAAAGACCUCCAAAGAAGGAGACUUCACCACACUCCUUGGUAGCAAAUUCCACUGCCGAACAGCUCUUACUGUCAGGAAGUUCUUCCUAAUGUUUAGGUGGAAUUUCCUUUUGUCUGUCCUGAGUCUUCCAGCAUUCAUUGGAUGACCGUGGCUUCAAUUAUAGGAGUACGUUCAAAACUUCUUUCUUUCCACUGUCUCAGCACCAUGCAUAAUUUUAUAGCUUCUAUUUCAUCCUCCCCCUCCCUUACAUACCAUUUUUUCCCUAAACCAAAAAAGCUCCAAGCUUCAUAUCUUCAUACAGGAAUUUCUCCAGCAACUUGAUCUUGUUGGUUGAAAAUGAAUAUGAAUAUAAACCUACCACAAUAUAAUCUUAUUAGGCAAGUUCUGUUCUGGUGCCUAGACAUUCUAAUGGGAUGGUCUACCCAGUCUGUGAGGUUGUAGAAAUUGAUAUAUAAAUGUAAUUGUGAUUAUGCAGAACACCAUGCGUGCAAGUUACAGGAGUGAGGAGGCAGAGUCGAAAAACAGCUUAACAACUUGGAGCCCAUAAAUAAGAGACAAAUUGUGGAGCUAGAUGACAUCAUAUUGGCUGCCUCGAAAAAUUAGAUGAGAAGCAACUUUCAGAACAGUAAAGAAGAACAAACAUGUCAGUAUAUAGCAAUAAUCUAAGCAAGGUAGGAUGAUAAACUGCAACAUUUAGGCAAUAUUUAAACUGUAUGAGUAUCCUGCACAAUUAUGUUCAAUGACAUGUCUGUCCUCUACAUGUUUAUUUUGGGUCAGUAUACAUUACCAGUUCCUAUUUUAUCUCUUCAAAGCUAUAUGUCAUCCCCAUGUGUUGGGUUUUGUUUCUUUUUAAAUAACUCUUAGUCUUUACCCUGAAGUUGCCUGGGACUGAAUAACAUUCUUAUCCCCGGAGAGGAAGAUGUCUCAAGGUUGCAGUUGACUGUGCACUGGCAAAGUAUCACGAGGGACUCUCCAUUGUAAGAAUAAAUAAGGGGCUUCCGUUUAACAAGAGGAGUUGGGAAGCAGGAAUGAUCUGGUUCUGCAGUGGUUUGGGUGGGGAAUUGUUCAAGGCAUGAACAAGUGGCAAGAAUACACUUGGUUAAUUAUUUGCUGUGGGCUUCAGGUGGAUAGUUCUGUAAGAGGGGAAAAACAUGCAGCAGUUUCUGAAGUCUGCUUAUCUUCUGCUUGUAGCAGAAUGUGAAUUCUGAGGAAUUGAAUUGACAAGGAGGCAAGAAAUGCUAAGGAGUCGAAACACUUACUUUCAAAGCUGCUGAAGUUUAAUACUACAAUGCACAUACAACAGAAAUGACAAAGGCACCCUGUAUCUGGGUUAACAUUUCAAUAUGAUCAGGGUUGACGAAAAGCAAGGUUAAAAAAUAAAUAAAUCCAUGCCACAAUGGUCUAAAUUCCACAAGAAGGAGAAGAAGCUGUCUCCUGCAAACUCUGUUGCUGGUGAAAGUUCAGCAUAUUUUCAUGAUUCAUCUAAUUUUGGGUAAUUUGGUUUCCCAAACUUAACUCAGAAAUGCAGAAUGGGAGAGAGUACCGGUAAAUGACAUGUUCAAAGAUGGUGAGGUAUGGCAUUCUGAAAAAAAGGCCCUGUUGCACAGAAAAACAAACUCUGACAUGUCAAAAUUAUGCACAUUGAAUCUGCAUAUUUUGGGUUAUUUUACAUAAUUUAUUUUGCAUCAGAUAGUGAUGGGAGAAGGCAAUAAAUUGUUACUGAAUUGUUAAGGCUAGGCUGACACUUUGGGCCACUUUAGAUAUAACAAUCUUGGUUUAAUAUACCAUAGUUUAUUAAACUGAGAAUGAAUGCCAUGCCUGUGCCUCUUUCACCUCUGUCCGUUUGACACUUCUAUCAUGGUUUGUUUAAGCCAGUCUCCUCUGACAUCCAGACCAGGAAACUAGUUUAAUCUCAGAUUACUAACCAAGAUACGAAGCCAGGCUCAGAAACCUGGUUGCCAAAAGAAACUUUAUUUAUGGAAAGCAAAUGCAAGUUCCCCUUCCCAACAGUGUCUGCAUUCCAGCCCUGCCAGGUCCCAAUAAGGAGCUGAGGAUGCUCCAGUCCCUCAGAUAGGAAAGUGCUGGAGAUGGCAGCUAAUGGAAGGGAAAAGGGUGCAAGAAAGUCUAUUGAAUAAGAAGCACCCCUUCCUUUCAUCUUCCUGCCAUCUGGAAACAGUGCUUUGCUUCUUCCACAAUCUAAGGUGAUGGCACAACAACUACAGUUUUAUACAUGGAGCCAUUUUCAUGAAUGUCCAUCCUUUGUCUGCUUUAUGCUUAAGAUUCCUUCAGGAUCAGUUCUCAGGUAACACUGAACACCUACUGAUCUUCCUUUGCACACCCUUCUCUUAAAGGCACAUACACAAUUUGCCACAUACCGUCCGCUCAUGAGCGGUAGCACAUAGUUCAGGCCUGGUGUUAUGUCAGAACAGUGCUCCUCUCUACCUUGUUUUUCUUCAGGAAGUUCAAGAAGUUCUUAAUGUGCAGAACUGAAGGACCCAAAGAGGAGGCCCUCAGCCAUCAAAUCCAGACCAUUCAAAAUUAUUUGUUUAAAUCCAGCUAUAAGUCAAUUAACCAUGAAAGCUAUGUGGGCUGUUAUAAGCUGUUUUGACUUGCAAUCUCAACAAGCAUACUUAAAAAAAAACUUUUAAAAAGGCAAUGUUAAUUAGGACUCUGGUCUUUGAGGUGCUGAAUCUCCCAUAAUUUGACUUCCUAAUCAUUCCAUAAAAGAGGUGACGCUUACCUAAAAAUACAUUUUUUUUAUCCUGUUGUUUAGGGCUUACACAGAUUCUAAGCUUCAGGAGCCAUAGUGUAUGGCAAAUUCACCACUUGCUGAGCAGCAUACGUCUUAAGAGGUUCUUUUGAACUCCAGCUGGAUUUUCUAUGCACUGUGGAUUUUCAUUUUGCCUUUUAAUUUUUUACUUUAAUGAAUUACUUUUAACAAAAGAACGAAGUAACAACCAAGCUUUUAAAAGAAUAGAAAUGUGUGGACCUUAAGAGAGAGAAAUUAAAUUGACUUCAGGAAAACUAAUUAAAAACUUGAGAAAAUUCCAUUCAAAAUGGCUGGCCUGUACGUUAAGGAACAUAGGAAGCUGCCUUAUACGAUUGGUCCAUCUAGCUCAGUAUUGUCGACACUGGCUGGCAGUAGCUCUUUGAGAUUUCACAGUGGGUAUUUCCCAGCCCUACCUGCAGGUACUGGGAUUGAACCUGGUAUAAACAAAACUGCUCACAGUAGCAACUAAACAAAACCACGUCAUCCAGUAAAAUUAAUCUAAAAACUAACAAGGCAGAAGAGAAUAAAAACAGCAGCAGUGACGCUCAGAGCAUCAUCAUCAUCAUCAUCAUCAUUUAUUAUUUAUACCCCACCCAUCUGGCUGGGCUUCCCCAGCCACUCUGCGCAGCUCCCAACAGAACACUAAAACAGAAUAAAACUUCAAACACUAAAAACGUCCCUAAACAGGGUUGCCUUCAGAUGUCUUCUGAAAGUCAGAUAGUAGUUUAUUUCCUUGUCAUUUGGUGGGAGAGCGUUCCACAGGGCGGGUGCCAUUACCAAGAAGGCCCUCUGCCUGGUUCCCUGUAACCUCACUUCUUGCAGUGAGGGAACUGCCAGAAGACCCUCAGAGCUGUACCUCAGUGUCCAGGCUGAAUGAUGGGGUGGAGGCGCUCCUUCAGGUAUACUGGGCCGAGGCCGUUUAGGGCUUUAAAGGUCAGCACCAACACUUUGAAUUGUGCUCGGAAACGUACUGGGAGCAUCCCAAAAAGCCUCGUCUUUGCUCUGCCAGACAGCAAACGGCAGUGAAGCCAACAGUAAUAUCUCUGUUACUUUCUUGGGAGGCUUUUCCUGGAGUAUGUAUGCAGUGGGUAGGAAGCAGGGUAAACAUAUGCUUAGCUGAAUUUGUGGCCUCUGGGGUGGUGGUGGAAUUGCCUCUUGAUAACCAUAUUGUUGUGGUUUGAUCAGUUCCUCAGUAGUCCUGUAAAUAUUAACACUGUGACUUCCCAGGGCAGAUCAGGUGGUAGUUUUGCCAAGAAGGAAGUACUUUCAGCCCAAAACACAAAAUAAUCGCUGCUUACUAAAGCCACAGCUACCCAGGGGCUGGUUUGGUGUCACCUGAAUCUGUUUCUUACAACAAAUGUGCAUGUUAUAUCAUUGUUCAUAUACCUGGGAUGAAAGGUGAAUGAGAGCAAAUGUGAAUCUUUUUCCUGAACUUGGGUGUCCUCCUGUUCUUCAUUCGGAAUGAGAGUCUCUGCUCAAAGAUACAGAAAAAUCUCUGCCUCCUGCUGUUACUGUGAAGAAACCCAAAGCACGAACCUCACCAUCUAAAGUGUUUUGCUAGAUUUCACAAUCUCCCUGUAAAUGUACCUUGGAAAACGAGUAACAGCAGGAAUCGGCACUGUAUUGUGUGACAGUCCAUAAUUAGUCUUUUUGCAUUGCAAAAAUGAUUAUUAGCACUUCAGUUCAUUAUCAAAGCAAAUUUAAUUUUUAUAUGUAGAGGGAGCUGACUGUAUUUGAAAAGGAAGUUUUGUUUAUAUAGCCUGAAAAAAUUAAUUCCUGACAAAUGUGAAGGAAAUUGAUAGAUUUUAACCAGGAAUAUAUUUGUGUAUGCCUAAUUGUCCUUUGUGAAAAGUAUCUGCUCUACAUGCCAGCAUAGAUCUCUAUUACAAAUGAGUAAUUUAAAUUAUGGUGUUUGGGGUUGGAUUUUUUAAAAAAUCUACCUGAUCCCAUAUUAUACCCCAUUAAAUUCAACAUGGUUUACAUACAUGUUAAGUAUGAAUAGGAUUGAACCCAAUGUAUUUCAAAAUGUAAGUUAAUUUAACAAAGGGAAGCAUCAAUCACUUACAUCAAAACUGCUAUCCUGGUCAGAAAUAGCCUUCUGAAAUCAAGUAAGCUAAAAAAUAAAUCAACUUCACAUUUAAUGUGGCAGCUGUGCUCAUUAAAUGAUCUUACACCAGUACUGUACUGUAAUUGUACUCUGCCCAGCCCAACAUAUGUGAGUGUUACAAAAAUAAAAUGGAAGAAUCCUCUAUAUCGCUCAACCAAGUGCUUUGAGAAUGCUUAUCAUCAAGGCAUAAAAGCAAUGACUGUUCCCUAUAGUUUGCCCCCAGAAUAUGAUAUUCAAAGAAAUAACACCUCUGAUCAUGAAGAAGACCCCAUUUAGUUAUCAAGGUGGAUCCAUCCUCCAUAAAUCUGUCUAAUCCUAUUUUGAAACCACCUAAUCUCUAAGAGGAACUACCAUUCCAUAAGAGGAUUCUUGCCUCCCAAUUCCUUUUCGUCUCCCCUUAUAAUUCAGAUUGAAAUAUAAUUUAUUUUUGCUGAUUUUACUCUGUAAAGGACCACAUAUAUAUCAAUGGUACUAUAUAAAUAUGACUGCCCUUGAAACGUUUCCCUUGCCUUUAAUUUGGCCUAUGCUUCGCCUCUGUUGGAUCUUUUGGUUUGUAAGAGUAUAAGAAUCUCCUUUCUUGUAACUUGAAUCCAUUGCUUUGGGUCCUAGCCUCUGGAGCCAAGAGAAAAGAAGCUUGCUCCACCUUGUACGCGACAGUCCUUUAGAUAUUUGAAGAUGGCUAUCAUAUCACUUCUCAGUCUCCUCUUUUCCAGGCUAAACAUCCCCAGCUCCCUCGACCUUUCCUCAUAAGUGUUUCCAGACACUUUAUCACCUUGCUCUCCCUCCACUGCACAUGUUCUAGCUUGUCAAUAUCCUUCUUAAAUUUUAGAUGUUUUUGUUUUGUUUUGUUGUUUAGUUUAAGAUUGUGCCUGAAGAAGAGUAGCACCAAGCUCAAAAACUGUUAUAUGACUUUUAACUUUCAGGUGUUUUAGGGUGCUGUAUUUGUUUACAUUACUUUGAAUUGAAAUCAUAUAUUGGGUAAUCGGAGGUAUUGUUUCGUUGCUAUGGUUGUGAGCAGCCCUGAAGGCUUAUUUGACCAUUAAGGAGGGAUAUAAUUAUAACGGAUGCAACCCCAACAUGGAAAACAAUGAAAUAAUCAAUGGAGGAAAAUGUGUUGCCUAGUCCUUUGGCAUCUGCCUGUUCAUUUAAAAUUAAUCAAACUCCAUCUUUCCAGUUGUUUAAGUAUUAAGGCACUCUUGGAUGUUGUUUUAAACUGAUAGGGGUAACCCGUUACCUUGGUCAGCAUGAUUUUGAAACCGGAAAUGUAGCAGUAUUGUCACUGAAGUGUUUUAUUCUAUCAGCCACUGUGUCCGAGGAACUCAGGGUAGUGGCACAGAUUCUUAUGCUCUCUCCUCACUUUAAUUCCCCACCUUUGGCCAUGCUGGCUGGGAAUGAUGGGAGAUGUAGUCCAAUGACACCGAAAGGGCAUCCAGUUAGUAAUCCUAUCUGAAAGGUAACAUCUGGGUCAAGAUCACCCAGUGAGCUUCAUAACUGAAAUGGAGUUUUUAACCUGUUCCAACAUUUCAGCCAUGAAACCACACAAGCUCUUUGAAAAAGGCAAGCGAAGAUCUGUUCAUUGCUGUGGUGCCUUUCAUAGUGCUGUGGUCUUCCUGAGACUGCUCUCCCUCCCCCAUUACCCCAUUACUUCCUCCCUCCCCACUCUACUAUUCCUAGUGCUGCUAAUAGCAACACAAUGUUCUACUGUUUCACAAAUCUGAAGACUUGUUUCCUCCUCUGGAUAAACUAUUUGGCCUCUGGACAAGAUUAUUUCCAUAUGGAACAGGAUUGUUAUCACUUAAUAGAAAAUAAUUAUCCAAUGCAAAUUGACUUACGGGUUGUCGAGCUGGCUAGAAAGCAGCAAGCUUCACGGAGCAUUUUAAAGGCUGCCUCGCUGGCUGUUUAAGUACAUGUAGCUGCAGAGAUAAAGCCCGAUAUUUAUUUUUCCUGAGACCGAGGGGCAUUAGGAAUUCAGAACAUAGACGCAAAAAAUAACCUCCAGUGCUUUGAAAAGUAUGCGUAUUCAAUAAUGGAAAGUAAUGGCAAAUUUCAAUAAAGGUGGCAUAGACAAGAGCGAAGGCAGCUAACCUGUGGCACUUUCAGAGCUUGCUGUGCUCCGACUCCCAUCAACCCUGGCCAUUGGCCCUGCAGUCUGGAGUGACUGCCCCUCUAUUAUUGUCCAUGUCAGGUCGCUCAACGAUUGCUACUGUGUCUUUUCUUUUAGCAGAUCAAGAUGAUCAGGUGACAGCAAAAACUGCAAGGUUUUUGCAGGUGUGCAUAAUCCAAUCAGUGGUUGUAUUCCACCCUGCAUAAAAGUCCAGCACUGAAAAAUUAGCUCAGUUCACUUUAAAAUGUGGGCCAAAUGAAUUUGCCCUUCAUCCCUAUUGUAAACACUUUGGUAUUACAAAAUGCCCUGUAAGAUUCCUGUUAGUAUUUACAAGGGAAAUGACUUUGACAGCUAUCCAGAAAGAAUUGCCUUCCUUUGCAAGGGCCAAAGUCAUUUAGCGUGCACACACACACAAAAAGCUGUGGCCAUAAAAUAUUUCUAUGGAAUUAGUUUGCAUGUAACUUUUUUCCAUAUUUGAUCUAGGACUGCAAGAUUUAUUAAAUUAGAAUUACUCCAAAGGGCUGGAGCAAUAGGGGGCAUUUCUUUUUCUUUCCUUUUUUAAUUGGAACAUUUUGAUAUUGUUUUAAAGAUCCUGAUCACUCCCAUUUUUCUCCCCUCCAAUUUGGAUUCCAGUAAUUAAAACACUUUUGAGGAUGCUCUGCUCCCCUAAGUAAUAAGUAGUUUACCCAAUUAAUUACACUAUUAGUUAAAUAUGUAUUUUUGUAACAUGCAUAUUCACCCAAGUAUUUACUUGAACUACCAAAUGCAUAUUUAAAUAUGUAUCAUACAUUUUAAUGCAUAAUAAUUAUUUGGGAGAAAGUGAGAAUCCUUCUGAGACAUACCUGUCUAGGGAACAGAAAUGCAUACCUGCCAGUAGAGUUUUGCCUCACUACAAACAUGGCUGCCACUCUUGUUCUGAGGGUCUUCUACAAAAAUCUGGGAAUCUGAACCCAUCACCACCACCACCUCUCUCUCUCUCUCUCUCUCUCUCUCUCUCUCUCUCUCUCUCUCUCUCUGUGUGUGUGUGUGUGUGUGUGUGUCCUAUGGAAAGUAGAUGGCAUUUUAGUCAGUUUUCCCCCUCCAUGAAAGCCACCACACAGGAAUUGAGUGUCACAGGUAGUAAGUAACUCAAGUCUAUGAAUGGAGUAUUUCUGCUGCACUUAAAUCUAGGACACUGGUUCUUGUUCCGUUUCCCCAACUUGUAAGACAUUCCAGGAUGAGUUUCCUUGACAGCAGAGAGUUGUAGAAACUUAAGACUGUAGUAAGCUGGGCAGGAAGUCUGUAGGAAGCAGUGGUACUAAAUUCAUUCUGGUGGCUUAAGCAGAAGGCGUUACUGAUCUUCAUCCCUUCUUGGUCUUCCUUAAAGCCCAGUCCCAGAGGUGUGUUUCUGCACUCAUCACCCAACUGGGGACAAUAAAAAUGGAAUAGUAGUCCCAAAAGAAGGUCAGUUGUUCAGAGGACAUGUUUGAAGACUUUUUUUGUCAACAGGCCCAUUAGGUGGUUUAAAUUGUUAAAAUGAACCAAUCAUUUUUAUGACUCCCCUGUAUUAUUUUUUUUGGCAAUGUAUCUGGUUUCGCCAGAAGCAGAUUAGUCAUGCUGGCCACAUGACCCGGAAAAACUGACUGCGGACAAACGUCGGCUCCCUUGGCCAGUAAAGCGAGAUGAGCGCCGCAACCCCAGAGUUGUUCACGCCUGGACUGUCACCUAAAGGACUGGACCUUUACCUUUACCUUUUCUGUAAAUCUUGUACAUCUCCCUGGUGCAGGAUUGUCUUUGAAAUAAGUAACAAAAUGUGUAAAUUUUAUAUUUAAUUUAUUUGUAAAAGAAUUCAUAGUCAUAUGUUACAAAAUGCUGUAAAUAGGAGACAGUGCAGCUUAAAAGAAAUGUUCGAUAGCUGGCGCUAUUGAGCACCGUUGCUUCUGAAGAAGACUCAGGAAUGCAAAAUAGCCAUGCGACCACGUCAUUUACAGAUGUAGGUGGGCAUUUUGCUAUUUCUAACCAAUCGCAGCCAUACUUGACGCUGAAAUACAUGCCGACGAUUGCCACCAAAACAAAACACACACCAAAAAAAGCCUAAGGUACUUGGGGCACCCCCUCCACAGUGUCACUGAAAUAAAUGGGAUACACACAACCCUUGCACCAUCUGGUCAACUUCCAGGGGAAACGGUCCCAAAGAAAUAUUCUCAUUAUUUGGCAGCCUAGUUUGCUUUCCUUUACAAAAUCAAUUUUUCAGUGUGGAUUUUGGCUCUGGGGAAGCCCACUGAACUGAUGAAUAUUCAACAUGUGUAUAUUUUCAUAAACAUUAAUUCCACACUUAGUCACUUACAAAGUACUGUAUUGUCUAUUCCAGGCAUCCCCAAACUUCGGCCCCCCAGAUUUUUGGACUACAAUUCCCAUCAUCCUUGACCACUGGUCAUGUUAGCUAGGGAUCAUGGGAGUUGUAGGCCAAAACAUCUGGAGGGCCGCAGUUUGGGGAUGCCUGGUCUAUUCACUGCAUGCAGUUAACUGAUCAUAUUGCAUCUCUGUUGAUAGAUCUGCCCUGCAGUUAGACAAAGUACAAGAUCAGUGGAGUGGGUCGCCUCUACUUUUAAUGACACAUGUUUCCUAGGAAGAGCCCAUGUGCAAUGAAGGGUGCAGUGCAGGAGGCAACAUUCUCCCAGUGAAUACUCCUUAGCCGCCCUGGUCAGUCUCAGAGACUUCAUAAGAAACAUACAAGCAGGCAAUAAAAUGAAAAGCAUUCAUGUGAAACAGCAGCCCAUAGGUUUCUCUUAUGUCCGCUGCAGACGGCUCAAUUACCCCUGACAUUGUCUCUUGCAGGGGAACAGAGAGAGAGAGA